UACCUUUACAUGUGCAUUGCAUCCAUGAGCAUCAUGCCACAAUUGCAUGUUUGAAUUCAAAUUUUGAAUCACAAAAGUCUUUAAGAGAUUUUGUUUACAUCCCUGUAACCUUUGGAUUUUCAAACCAAUAGGUUGAUGUAUAAAAAGGGUUUAAUGCAUAUAUAAGCUAUCCCAUAAUUUUUGGUUAACUAAUUGGAGUUGAAAAAGUAUUUUAUUCAAACAGAUAUAUAGCCGUAAAGUCAUUUAUAGGGCAAAUGUAUUUUUAUAUAUUUUAUUUUGAAGAGAAACUACUUCCAAAAGUUGUAUCAUGGUAGAACAUGAUUUUACAAAUUUUCUGGAAUUUAUUUGGACCAAUUUGGAGUUCAAACACAAAAGAUAUCAAAGAAAUGAGAAAAACAGAAAAAGAAAAGGCCUAAAAGAACAAAAAAAGGGUAAACCGGACCGGCCCGGCCAAAAUGGGCCGA
rnacentral:lncRNA from 1 species